rnacentral:tRNA from 1 species
CAUUAGAUGGCCGAAAAUUAAGCAAUGGUCUCUUAAAUCAUAUAAUGACAAUAUUGUCUCUAAUGA